rnacentral:hammerhead_ribozyme from 1 species
ACCCAACUGACGAGUCCUAAAAUAGGACGAAACGCGAAUGCUGGAU